AGCGAACGCUGGCGGCAGGCUUAACACAUGCAAGUCGAGCGGGCAUCCUUGUGGUGUCAGCGGCAGACGGGUGAGUAACGCGUGGGAACGUGCCCUUCGGUUCGGAAUAACUCAGGGAAACUUGAGCUAAUACCGGAUACGUGCGAGAGCAGAAAGGUUUAUCUGCCGAAGGAUCGGCCCGCGUCUGAUUAGCUAGUUGGUGAGGUUAUGGCUCACCAAGGCGACGAUCAGUAGCUGGUCUGAGAGGAUGAUCAGCCACGCUGGGACUGAGACACGGCCCAGACUACUACGGGAGGCAGCAGUGGGGAAUAUUGGACAAUGGGGGCAAUCCUGAUCCAGCCAUGCCGCGUGAGUGAUGACGGCCUUAGGGUUGUAAAGCUCUUUUCUCCGGGACGAUAAUGACGGUACCGGAGGAAUAAGCCCCGGCUAACUUCGUG
rnacentral:rRNA from 1 species